CCUGACGGUAGUCGUAUGCUCGUCUCCGAGACUAAGCCAUGCAAGUCCAAGUACACGUCCUUGAACGACGGAAACUGCGAACGGCUCAUUAAAUCAGUUGCGAUCUACUCGGCGUUCCGCGCCGCCGGAUAACCGUAGUAAUUCUAGGGCUAAUACGUGCGAAGCGCCCGAAGCCGCGAGGCGACGGGCGUUCUCGCCGGAUGUAGGAACCGACCCGGGGACCGCCGGGGCAACCCGGCGCCCCCGAGACGGGGCGAACCACGGUGAAAUGACGGAUCGUCGGCCCCGCGCCGGCGACUCGCCGAAUGAGUUUCUGACCUAUCAACUCGAGACGGCGGGGUAGAGGCCCGCCGCGGUAACGACGGGUAACGGGGAAUCAGGGUUCGAUUCCGGAGAGGGAGCCCGAGAAACGGCUACCACUUCCAAGGAAGGCAGCAGGCGCGCAACUUACCCUAAUCUCGAUUCGAGGAGGUAGU
rnacentral:rRNA from 1 species